UUUAAUUUCUAUUGAAAUUUAAAUCGUUCUCUCUCUUCCUAAUUUCUUUAAAAAUGACGUCCCUUUAAUCUGGAUUCUCACAAUUAUUUUCAGAAAUUUUAUACCCACAAAUUCUGAAAAAAUAUUUAGACAUUAUUAAAUUUUAAAUAUUAGAUGGCGCCACUUUUAUUUUUUAAAUUGGCAGUUAGGAUGAACGAAGUUCAACCAUAGACUAAUUACCUAGCAAAGCUAGGUAAUUAGUCUAUGGUUCAACAAUGCACUUGCUGGAUUUCGGUUAGAGAAAUGGCAAAGUAUGUUCUUAUUAUAAGUACUGAAUAGAUUCAAAAUUGUUUUCCGAUGAGCUAAAUUAUUUAUGGACAAAUCGAAGGAGACGUCUCAUUUCAGUGUUUAAAUUAAUUAAUUGGUGUUCGUUUUUAAGCCAUUGUCUUGGGAUUGGUUCUUACCACGUCACUACCAAAAAGAAGAGGAAAUAAAUAGGUGUAAUGCACGAAUCUUCGCUCGUUACUAGUGACGUAUUUCUGUUUUGGUUACAGAAAAAAAAUCGACAGAAGUCUUAUUUUACUCUGUUGAUAACUCACGAUUGUUUGCGUCCGAGAAGACAGAGAGGGUGAAGAUUGUGUUGUCCUUUCAGCCGUAAGACAAAAAUGCAUGCAAGCAUUUGGAAUUCUCGUCCACACAGGCAGUCUUGAUUAAAGGAGAAAACCUCGUUGACGAUUUCACCAGAAAGAAAAAAAAACAGAAGAAAGAUUUUAACGAAGAGGAAGAGAAGACUUCUCAAGUAACAUUUGAUGAUGUAUGGAAUUCUUCUCGUUCUCGUGGACUGUGAUUCACUACCCGCCAAUCAAAAACAUUCCUGUUUACUACUAAAUGAAGAAUAGUUUCCAGGAAAGCACAAGAAUAGUCGAUGGAUGUGUUGGACUUCUGUCGUUAACGGAACACUAAAAUUGAAGCCAGUGUUGUGAAAUCAUUACAAGAAUAUAUCAACAAGGAAAACAUCGUUCAUGCGAGUGAAGAAGAGAAAAAUCAUUGAAGAUAUUUAAAAAAUUUUUUUUCAAAUAUAUAUUUUUGUUUUUACAAAAUACACUCUAUAUAAAUUGUGUUCAAGAAAAAUGUAUAAAUUACAUUUGUUAUUAAUUUGUGAUAUUGUUUUAGUGUGUGGGUAAUAUUUGUGAAUAGUUAGUAUUUCUAGUGUAAUGUUUUCCUUUGAAUAAAAUUUAAAGGUUUAACCUAUACAAAGAAAAU